rnacentral:rRNA from 1 species
UACGUAGGUGGCAAGCGUUGUCCGGAUUUACUGGGCGUAAAGGGCGCGUAGGCGGCCCGCUAAGUCGAACGUGAAAUCCCCGGGCUCAACCUGGGAACUGCAUUUGUGACUGCAUGGCUGGAGUGCGGCAGAGGGGGAUGGAAUUCCGCGUGUAGCAGUGAAAUGCGUAGAUAUGCGGAGGAACACCGAUGGCGAAGGCAAUCCCCUGGGCCUGCACUGACGCUCAUGCACGAAAGCGUGGGGAGCAAACAGG